rnacentral:lncRNA from 1 species
CCAGCUAGAAUUCUGAGGCUUUUUGUGAGAAAUCAUAUGGUGGGAAACCUGAAGGAAGGAAAACCAUCAGGAAUACGCUUCAGAACUUGCACAGUCUUAAAGGUUAAUGCAUAAGGUAGAUUAGAAGAUGACCUGGGAGGACUCUUGUAAUCUGAGGAUUCCAAUUGCAGCUAGAAAGAGGAAUGUAGCUGAAAUGACAGGAAACACGAACCAUUGCUCUGUUUCUUUUUACAUUAAUACUUAGUGUUCAUCCAUGGAAAAAUGAGUUGUACUUCUGCUAAUGUCAAGAGCAAGACUCAAAUUCAAAAAACAUCACCACUACCAAUAAACAAAACCAAAGGGAAAGGAUUCCUUAUCAGCAGACAGUUACAGCUCCCACUAGGACACUGCCUUCUCAGCGGCUUCAGUUAUCAGAUAUUCCUGGACAUACUUUCCAAGCCAUGAA